rnacentral:misc_RNA from 1 species
GAUGAAGAACGUAGCGAAAUGCGAUAAGUAAUGUGAAUUGCAGAAUUCAGUGAAUCAUCGAAUCUUUGAACGCACAUUGCGCCCGCCAGUAUUCUGGCGGGCAUGCCUGUUCGAGCGUCAUUUCAACCAUCAAGCCCUGCUUGCGUUGGGGUCCUGCGGCUGCCCGCAGGCCCUGAAAACCAGUGGCGGGCUCGCUAGUCACACCGAGCGCAGUAAUACAUCUCGCUUUGGGCGUGNGGCGGGUUCUUGCCGUUAAACACCCCCUUUUUACCAAGGUUGACCUCGGAUCAGGUAGGAAUACCCGCUGAACUUAAGCAUAUCAAUAAGCGGAGGA